UCAUGAGUAGUCUUUUUUUCA
rnacentral:piRNA from 1 species